rnacentral:rRNA from 1 species
CCUACGGGAGGCAGCAGUGGGGAAUUUUGGACAAUGGGCGAAAGCCUGAUCCAGCAAUGCCGCGUGCAGGAUGAAGGCCCUCGGGUUGUAAACUGCUUUUGUACGGAACGAAAAGCCUGGGGCUAAUACCCCCGGGUCAUGACGGUACCGUAAGAAUAAGCACCGGCUAACUACGUGCCAGCAGCCGCGGUAAUACGUAGGGUGCAAGCGUUAAUCGGAAUUACUGGGCGUAAAGCGUGCGCAGGCGGUUUUGUAAGACAGUGGUGAAAUCCCCGGGCUCAACCUGGGAACUGCCAUUGUGACUGCAAAGCUAGAGUGCGGCAGAGGGGGAUGGAAUUCCGCGUGUAGCAGUGAAAUGCGUAGAUAUGCGGAGGAACACCGAUGGCGAAGGCAAUCCCCUGGGCCUGCACUGACGCUCAUGCACGAAAGCGUGGGGAGCAAACAGGAUUAGAUACCCUGGUAGUCCACGCCCUAAACGAUGUCAACUGGUUGUUGGGUCUUAACUGACUCAGUAACGAAGCUAACGCGUGAAGUUGACCGCCUGGGGGAGGUACGGCCGCGAGGUAGAACGUACGAAGAGUAGUAGCGNGNGAGAGCGACGACGACGACGACGGAGGGAGG